GGAGUUUCCAAGGUAACAGCUCCCCCUACAAAAAUCUGCUGGUCAGUGAAAGGACAUGAACAAUUUUGGCUGGUUUGCAAUGACAUUUCAAGAACAGGAUUGUCUGUGAAAGACCGGUUCCACAAAGACAAGCACUGAAGUCCAACAGUGGAAGAACAGCAUGACAUGGACCACAGCCCUGUGACAUUACAAGCGUGUAUUACAGCUGCCAGAUGGGCUCAGCUGACUCAUGCUCAGGAUCACUCCGACCAGCAGAUGUGAGGGUAACUUGCACAGAAGACAAGGGAAAUCACACUCGAGAACACAAGUGGUUCCACAGUUGCACGAGAACGGUUUUCCCCAUGCGCUUGAGGACUGACAUGUAAGGAAGUUUGAAAGAUUUACAGGAGAGGUGGCAGAUCCUGUGAACUCAAGCGUGAUCUACACCUGAAAAGUGAGAUUUAAAAAGACAACAUUUGAGUAAAGGGAAAUUGGUAUCUCAUGAAAGAAGACAAAAGCUAAAGAAGGAUCAAACUUAAGAAGAUACACAUGCGUAUUACAAAUAAGAUCGUAUUAUAAACCCUACAAAAGUUGAAGUAUAAGAAGUUGAGUACUUGGCUAAGUUCUGAUGAAGGAAAAUUGUUCAAUUUCAGUGCAGUAAUAUUCCCACGUUCUCCUACACAUAUAAUUAAGAGGGAAAAAAAGGGGAAAAAUAACUGCACUGGAAGCAAGAGUAAUAAGGAAGGUUGUUAAGCAUCACCUACAGAGAUAGAUAGUCAGAGGUCAAAGCAGCAGCAUCUCAGGAAGGUAUUACCACCAUAUUUCCUAGCUACUGAUGUUCAUUUAGAUUCAGACCGUUUUGCUAACUCUGAAGAAAUCCAGAUUCUGCCUCCUCUCCUUCUGUGACUCUGUCUUCUCUCAAACAUCUACAGUGUCCUUCAGUUGACUGCUUGCUUCUCAUUGCCCUUCAUUGCCUUUCAUGCAAUCCAACCCAAACACCACAAUGACUUCUAGGCAUGAAGAAUAAACCUAUGAUACAAAUGAAUUCUCAUCAA